rnacentral:rRNA from 1 species
GAUGAACGCUAGCGGGAGGCCUAACACAUGCAAGCCGAGCGGUAGAGUUUCUUCGGAAACUUGAGAGCGGCGCACGGGUGCGUAACACGUGUGCAACCUACCUUUAUCUGGGGGAUAGCCUUUCGAAAGGAAGAUUAAUACCCCAUAAUAUAAUGAUUGGCAUCAAUUAUUAUUGAAAACUCCGGUGGAUAGAGAUGGGCACGCGCAAGAUUAGAUAGUUGGUGAGGUAACGGCUCACCAAGUCAAUGAUCUUUAGGGGUCCUGAGAGGGAGAUCCCCCACACUGGUACUGAGACACGGACCAGACUCCUACGGGAGGCAGCAGUGAGGAAUAUUGGACAAUGGGUGAGAGCCUGAUCCAGCCAUCCCGCGUGAAGGAUGACGGUCCUAUGGAUUGUAAACUUCUUUUGUACAGGGAUAAACCUACCCUCGCGAGGGUAGCUGAAGGUACUGUACGAAUAAGCACCGGCUAACUCCGUG